rnacentral:rRNA from 1 species
CCUACGGGAGGCAGCAGUGAGGAAUAUUGGUCAAUGGGCGGAAGCCUGAACCAGCCAAGUAGCGUGCAGGAUGACGGCCCUACGGGUUGUAAACUGCUUUUAUACGGGAAUAACGUGCCUUACGUGUAGGGCUUUGCAUGUACUGUAUGAAUAAGGACCGGCUAAUUCCGUGCCAGCAGCCGCGGUAAUACGGAAGGUCCGGGCGUUAUCCGGAUUUAUUGGGUUUAAAGGGAGCGUAGAUCGCAUGUCAAGCGUGCUGUGAAAUGUCCGGGCUCAACCCUAGCCUUGCAGCGCGUACUGGCAUGCUUGAGUCCGCUGAAAGCAGGCGGAAUUCGUCGUGUAGCGGUGAAAUGCUUAGAUAUGACGAAGAACCCCGAUUGCGAAGGCAGCUUGCUACAGCGGAACUGACGCUGAUGCUCGAAAGCGCGGGUAUCGAACAGGAUUAGAUACCCCAGUAGUC